UGUUGGGGAAGAAGGCCUUCUGGGUUGUAAAGCACUUUUGUCCGGAAAGAAAAGCUUAGGGUUAAUAACCUUGAGUCAUGACGGUACCGGAAGAAUAAGCACCGGCUAACUUCGUGCCAGCAGCCGCGGUAAUACGAAGGGKGCAAGCGUUACUCGGAAUUACUGGGCGUAAAGCGUGCGUAGGUGGUUUGUUAAGUCUGAUGUGAAAGCCCUGGGCUCAACCUGGGAAUGGCAUUGGAAACUGGCUUACUAGAGUGCGGUAGAGGGGUGUGGAAUUCCCGGUGUAGCAGUGAAAUGCGUAGAUAUCGGGAGGAACAUCUGUGGCGAAGGCGACACCCUGGACCAGCACUGACACUGAGGCACGAAAGCGUGGGGAGCAAACAGGAUUAGAUACCCUGGUAGUCCACGCCCUAAACGAUGCGAACUGGAUGUUGGGAGCAACUUGGCUCUCAGUAUCGAAGCUAACGCGUUAAGUUCGCCGCCUGGGAAGUACGGUCGCAAGACUGAAACUCAAAGGAAAUUGACGGAAAC
rnacentral:rRNA from 1 species